AAGGCUUUAAGUUAAUUAAACUGAUAGCCUUCAAAGCUAUAAACAUAAGUAUAAAUCUUUUAAGCCUUA
rnacentral:tRNA from 1 species